AUACCUUUCUCGGCCUUUUGGCUAAGAUCAAGUGUAGUAUUUGUUCUUAUCAGUUUAAUAUCUGAUACGUGGGCCAAUGGCCCACUCGGUAUUAAAUUAAUUUUUUUAGGGGAAGGGUCCACCACAGUAGCUUGCUACUGGGCCUUUAAGCAUCGCCCAUGCGUUACACUAUUGCACGGGCCUGACGCACCCCAC